CUUCUUGCUAGCGGAGUUUGUUUUUGUUCGUUUUCGCACUGAUCGGGUAUCAUUCGGCUGAAUUUUUACGACACUGCUUGCACGCUAACUUUGAAGUACCCAUUAAAUGGGUUCCUUGUACCCAUUUUUAUUGCUAGUACUGAGUUGUCAGAAAAAGGGUAUUAUUUUUUAACACUAAAAAGAGUACAUUUUACUCUUCUUGAAGAACGAGUUCCGUCAGUAAAAAAGGGUAAAAAAGCCACUUUUCGCCAUUUGGAGCAACAACAUUGAAGUGUUUUGCCGCAAAUCAUAUUUCGUUAAUUAAUUGAAAGAAUCAUGGUCCGUACUUGGCUUAAAGCAGAACCCUUCAAGGAGCAUUACAAGCGGCAAUUAAAGAGUGGGUUUUCAUCCGGGAUAUGGAAUAGCAAAAUACGGAGCAAGACCCCUGGAUACAGAUGAGAAAGUCAACGCAUUAAAGUUUGAGUUAGCACCUUAGUUAUAAGUAAUCAAAUAAAAAGAUUUCCAUUAAAAUAUA